CUGGCGGUAACAUGAAUGCUCGCUAUGAGGUGACAUUCUCUUUGCCAACUGCUACCCAUCCCCUCUCAGGAACAAAGUCCUGGCAGGCUGUGGAAAGAAGCUGCACUACAGGGAUCCUGCAGAUAUGGACA